GACGAACGCUGGCGGCGUGCUUAACACAUGCAAGUCGAACGGAAAGGCCCUGCUUUUGUGGGGUGCUCGAGUGGCGAACGGGUGAGUAACACGUGAGUAACCUGCCCUUGACUUUGGGAUAACUUCAGGAAACUGGGGCUAAUACCGGAUAGGAGCUCCUGCUGCAUGGUAGGGGUUGGAAAGUUUCGGCGGUUGGGGAUGGGCUCGCGGCUUAUCAGCUUGUUGGUGGGGUAGUGGCUUGCCAAGGCUUUGACGGGUAGCCGGCCUGAGAGGGUGACCGGCCACAUUGGGACUGAGAUACGGCCCAGACUCCUACGGGAGGCAGCAGUGGGGAAUAUUGCACAAUGGGCGGAAGCCUGAUGCAGCAACGCCGCGUGCGGGAUGACGGCCUUCGGGUUGUAAACCGCUUUCGCCUGUGACGAAGCGUGAGUGACGGUAAUGGGUAAAGAAGCACCGGCUAACUACGUG
rnacentral:rRNA from 1 species